rnacentral:rRNA from 1 species
UACGUAGGGGGCAAGCGUUGUCCGGAUUUAUUGGGCGUAAAGAGCGUGUAGGCGGCCAGGUAGGUCGGUUGUGAAAACUGGAGGCUCAACCUCCAGACGUCGACCGAAACCAUCUGGCUAGAGUCCGGAAGAGGAGAGUGGAAUUCCUGGUGUAGCGGUGAAAUGACGCAGAUAUCAGGAAGAACACCCGUGGCGAAAGCGGCUCUCUGGGACGGUACUGACGCUGAGACUCGAAAGCAUGGGGAGCAAACAGG